rnacentral:rRNA from 1 species
GAUAAGGGAAUCUCGAGUGCCAGGUUACAAAUCUGGCUGUCGUGAUGCCUAAAAAGCAUUGCAUAGCAAGGGCCGGGCAAGACCGGUGCCAGCCGCCGCGGUAACACCGGCGGCUCGAGUGGUAACCGUUAUUAUUGGGUCUAAAGGGUCUGUAGCCGGCC